AUGCAGUCGAGCGGACAGAUGGGAGCUUGCUCCCUGAUGUUAGCGGCGGACGGGUGAGUAACACGUGGGUAACCUGCCUGUAAGACUGGGAUAACUCCGGGAAACCGGGGCUAAUACCGGAUGCUUGUUUGAACCGCAUGGUUCAGACAUAAAAGGUGGCUUCGGCUACCACUUACAGAUGGACCCGCGGCGCAUUAGCUAGUUGGUGAGGUAACGGCUCACCAAGGCGACGAUGCGUAGCCGACCUGAGAGGGUGAUCGGCCACACUGGGACUGAGACACGGCCCAGACUCCUACGGGAGGCAGCAGUAGGGAAUCUUCCGCAAUGGACGAAAGUCUGACGGAGCAACGCCGCGUGAGUGAUGAAGGUUUUCGGAUCGUAAAGCUCUGUUGUUAGGGAAGAACAAGUGCCGUUCAAAUAGGGCGGCACCUUGACGGUACCUAACCAGAAAGCCACGGCUAACUACGUGCCAGCAGCCGCGGUAAUACGUAGGUGGCAAGCGUUGUCCGGAAUUAUUGGGCGUAAAGGGCUCGCAGGCGGUUUCUUAAGUCUGAUGUGAAAGCCCCCGGCUCAACCGGGGAGGGUCAUUGGAAACUGGGGAACUUGAGUGCAGAAGAGGAGAGUGGAAUUCCACGUGUAGCGGUGAAAUGCGUAGAGAUGUGGAGGAACACCAGUGGCGAAGGCGACUCUCUGGUCUGUAACUGACGCUGAGGAGCGAAAGCGUGGGGAGCGAACAGGAUUAGAUACCCUGGUAGUCCACGCCGUAAACGAUGAGUGCUAAGUGUUAGGGGGUUUCCGCCCCUUAGUGCUGCAGCUAACGCAUUAAGCACUCCGCCUGGGGAGUACGGUCGCAAGACUGAAACUCAAAGGAAUUGACGGGGGCCCGCACAAGCGGUGGAGCAUGUGGGUUUAAUUCGAAGCAACGCGAAGAACCUUACCAGGUCUUGACAUCCUCUGACAAUCCUAGAGAUAGGACGUCCCCUUCGGGGGCAGAGUGACAGGUGGUGCAUGGUUGUCGUCAGCUCGUGUCGUGAGAUGUUGGGUUAAGUCCCGCAACGAGCGCAACCCUUGAUCUUAGUUGCCAGCAUUCAGUUGGGCACUCUAAGGUGACUGCCGGUGACAAACCGGAGGAAGGUGGGGAUGACGUCAAAUCAUCAUGCCCCUUAUGACCUGGGCUACACACGUGCUACAAUGGACAGAACAAAGGGCAGCGAAACCGCGAGGUUAAGCCAAUCCCACAAAUCUGUUCUCAGUUCGGAUCGCAGUCUGCAACUCGACUGCGUGAAGCUGGAAUCGCUAGUAAUCGCGGAUCAGCAUGCCGCGGUGAAUACGUUCCCGGGCCUUGUACACACCGCCCGUCACACCACGAGAGUUUGUAACACCCGAAGUCGGUGAGGUAACCUUUAGAGCCAGCCGCCGA
rnacentral:rRNA from 1 species